rnacentral:misc_RNA from 1 species
GAUGAUGACAAAGAGCCGAAUGGAUUAGUGACAUCUAAUUUUGUGGGCAGCCACUGAUA